rnacentral:rRNA from 1 species
UGAGGAAUAUUGGUCAAUGGGCGGGAGCCUGAACCAGCCAAGUCGCGUGAGGGAAGACGGUCCUAUGGAUUGUAAAACCUCUUUAGGCGGGGAGCAAUGCCGGGCACGCGUGCCCGGAGGGAGAGUACCCGCAGAAUAAGCAUCGGCUAACUCCGUGCC